rnacentral:tRNA from 1 species
AGAGGAGUGGCAGAGCGGUCGAAUGCGGCGGUCUUGAAAACCGUUGAACCUUUGCGGGUUCCGGGGGUUCGAAUCCCUCCUCCUCUGCGA